GAAGGCUCUUGCCUGUGAGCCACAUGAGAUGCGGCAAUGCUGAUUGCCCUAUGGUAGGAGCUUUCCACAUUGUCAGGCAUGGGGGGCCACCCUCAGGCUUAGCUUCCGGGAACAGUGUCCAAAACCACUCCCCAAAGCAGAGGGGGCUAAGGGUGAAGCAAUGACUAUGGCAGCCACGUGCAGGGGACUCCACCUCACAGGAGACUCGACCCCCACAGGAAGACACCCACUCGAUAGGGAGACUACAUCACAGGAGGCUCUAGUUGCUCUGAUCCAGAAUCAACAGCCACAGCAGCCAUACCCAGAAGGUCCCAGGUCCUGCAGACAAGAAGGCAAUUCGGUUCAAAAUGACUCAUAGCUGUUGUUGGUUCAAACUUUGGGAGUCUAACCUCGACUAGUUUAUUUCAGGUCUAUUUAAGUGUGGCACCAUCUGAUGAGAAGUUUUCCUGGUGACAACUGACUCAAUCCCGCGUGCACAGCAAAGCUUAAUACAAGACUAUAUCGAAACGCUAUGUAAAGUACAACUCACGUCUUCCGUAGAGAUGGGUUCUCCAGAUUAACUGAGAAGAUAGCCUCAAGACAAGGGUAUGGGGGAGGGAAGGCUGGCCACACAAACAGUGCAAAGGCCACCAGGUUGUUUAGCCUUAUCUGCUCCCAGCCUUCUGGGCACAAAACAGGUCACACAUCUCUCUUUGAGGAGACAACCCCGAAUGUUUAACAUUCCUGGUUCCCCUGGUGUUUAUCUGUGAGCACAGAGGGACCAAUGCGCCUCCUACACACACACACACACACACACACACACACACACACACACCCAUGCUGGAAUCAGUGGUCCUGGCAGCACAGUGUGUUCCCAGUUAGCGCCCUCUCUUAGAGUGUGCCUCACCGUGGUGGAGCCCACCGCUGCCUGUGCCCUGAUGGCAAAGGAGGCUGGGUGAACUAUUUAUUAGGUCACUUUCCCAUCCACGAGGCUGUCUGGUUAGUUUUUUGUUUUGUUUUGUUUUGUUUUUGUUUGUUUGUUUGUUUGUUUGUUUUAUGUCAGUCAGACACAAGCUAGUGUCAUCUGAGAAGAGGGAACCGAGGUUGGGAAAAUGUCCCCGUCAGAUGGAACUGUAGGCCAAGCCUGUGGGACAUUUUCAGGGUUGAUGAUUACUGUGGGAGGGCCCAGGCAACUGUGGGCGCUGCCACCUAUGGACAGGUGGUCCUGGCUGCUGGAAGGAAGCAAACUGAGCAAGUCAUGAGGGGGCAGGCCAGUGAGCAGUGUUCUCAAUGGUUUCUGCAUCCGUUUCUGCCUCUGGGUUCCUGCCUUGAGUUCCCUGAUGGACUGUGAUCAGGAUAUGUGAGGUGAAAUUAACCCUUUCCUUCCUCCCCAAGUUGCCUUUGGUCAUGGUUGCUUAUCAGAGCAACAGAAACCUGACUAAGACCUGACUAAGGCCUAUGAGGUGGGAAUUCUUUGACAACACGGGCAUUUGAAGAGCUGGGGUGCCAGCCUAGGACACCAGCGGCCAUGCCUCUGCCUGUCAAGCAGGAACAAACUGAAGUUCCUGAAAAGACCUGCAAGGCUGAGUCACUGACUGGGGAGAGAUGGGAAUGUUUCGGACCCAGAGCCAAAUUAUCUCGUGCUAUCUCUAACCCCUCGGCAAGCUGCUAUUCAUUGCCCUCCUCUGUGUCCUUAUGACUAUCUCGUGACACCUUGGGAUGUGUUAACAGACCCCUAUCCUCCCCUCAACCCCAAAGCUAAGAAUGUCAUCAGACAGCCUCUGAGGUCAAAGCAAUCCUGCCUUUGUGGAACUCCGCCUACCUGAUCUUCCCAUCAUUGUGUUUGAAAAGUGUGCUGAUUUACGAUUUUCUUUGUUCUGCUACUGUGAGAACUUUAUGCAACCAUUUCAUACAGGCUUCACUCAUACUUGACUCCAGAAUAACCGCCUAUUCCCUUUGAAGGUACUGUUUUUCAGUCAGCAGGCUCUUCAGAGCAGGGGGCCCUUGGCUGGGCAUGUAAAGGGUUACCGCCCUGGGCCACUGGGUCCCACAGAAACAGGAGCAGGACACCAUCUCUGCACUGGGCUAUGGGCAGAAAACAGGCCCUUAAGCAGGUGUGUGGGGGGGGGGGUUUACAGUGGCCUGGCCAGCAGAGGAGAGGAGUGGCUAGAGGACGCCCAGAUUCCUUUCUGCCUGCCUGUCCCCCAUGCGUCAGCAGCACGGAAAUGCUGGUUUCCUGGAAGAUUGCAGCUCCCCGCAGCUGGCUGGGUGAGCCACUGGGGAGAAAGCAAACAGGAAGACCAGGACCUUGGCUGGUGGGCUGGUGGCCGGGCCUUUCUUCCUCCUAUCUCCUGCGUUCCACCCAGGCACACUCAUUAACUUAGAAUUUGCUGCUUGGGAAAGAAGAGGCCUCCGACUUCAUAAACAUCUCCUUUGAAAUGCAAAGUUAUUGUUGCAGAAACAGAAGGGAAAGACGACCAACUGGCUGAUGACUGCAGAAGAAAGAACAAACAAACGGGAAGGGGGCCUGGACACAAGAACUCAUGAGAGGUGCUGCAUUAUACUCAGAGGAAGAGAACUCACAUCUCCUGAGACACGGGGAUACAAAGGAAGGGUCGCUGUCCCCCAGUUUAUUACCAUUAGGUCAUGACCCUUGGCCCUCCUGUCAUAGUCCUCCCUGGCGAAUACCCUUCCUCGAACCCUGGCAUGAAACACAACGCACCUGUCUCUCCGGGUCUUCCUUUCCUUGUGAAGCUUCCUGUAAAACUUAGAGAUGGGGAUGGAGAGAUGGCUCGGUGGUUAAGAGCAUUGGCUGUUUAUGCAGAGGGACCUAGAUUCUGACCCCAGUAUCCACAGGCUGCUCACAACCCUCUGUAACUCUGGUUCCAGGGCAUCCGAUGCCCUCUUCUGACCUCCAUGAGCACUGCGUGCAUGUGGCAUACAAACAUACAUGAAGGCAAAACACCCAAUGCACAUGAAAUAAAAAUAAAUUUAACAACAUUAAAAUCCUACAUGAAACCAACCACUCAGAAGGUAGAGGCAGGUGUAUCUCUGUGAGUUCAAGGCCAGCCUGGUCUACAGAGAGAGUUCCAGCACAGCCAGGGUU